CCUUGGUGAUUUAGUUAAGGGGAAACACCUGUUUCCAUUCCGAAUACAGCAGUUAAGUCCUUAAACACCGAAGAUAGUUUUUAUUUAUAAAAGCAAAAAUAGGGAUUUGCCAAGGA
rnacentral:rRNA from 1 species